rnacentral:rRNA from 1 species
AGUGAACGCUGGCGGUAGGCCUAACACAUGCAAGUCGAACGGCAGCACAGGAGAGCUUGCUCUCUGGGUGGCGAGUGGCGGACGGGUGAGGAAUACAUCGGAAUCUACUUUUUCGUGGGGGAUAACGUAGGGAAACUUACGCUAAUACCGCAUACGACCUACGGGUGAAAGCAGGGGAUCCUCGGACCUUGCGCGAUUGAAUGAGCCGAUGUCGGAUUAGCUAGUUGGCGGGGUAAAGGCCCACCAAGGCGACGAUCCGUAGCUGGUCUGAGAGGAUGACCAGCCACACUGGAACUGAGACACGGUCCAGACUCCUACGGGAGGCAGCAGUGGGGAAUAUUGGACAAUGGGCGCAGGCCUGAUCCAGCCAUACCGCGUGGGUGAAGAAGGCCUUCGGGUUGUAAAGCCCUUUUGUUGGGAAAGAAAUCCAGCUGGUUAAUACCCGGUUGGGAUGACGGUACCCAAAGAAUAAGCACCGGCUAACUUCGUGCCAGCCGCCGCGGUAA